UUGAAACUCAAAGGAAUGACGGGGACCAGCACAAGCGCUGGAUGAUGUGGUUUAAUUCGAUGCAACGAGAAGAACCUUACCCACCUUAGACAUGUACGGAAUCCGUAAGAGACGAAGGAGUGCUCGAAAGAGACCCGUAACACAGGUGCUGCAUGACCGUCGUCAGCUCGUGUCGUGAGAUGUUGGGUUAAGUCCCGCAACGAGCGCAACCCUUGCCCUUAGUUGAUAGGAAAGGGCACUCUAAUGGGACCGCCGGUGACAAACCGGAGGAAGGUGGGGAUGAUGUCAUGUCCUCAUGCCCUUUAUAGGUGGGGCUACACACGUCAUACAAUGGCUGGUACAGAGGGUCGCCAACCCGCGAGGGGGAGCUAAUCCCAUAAAGCCAGUCGUAGUCCGGAUCGCUGUGUGCAUCUAGAUUGCGUGAUGUGGGAAUCGCUUGUAAUCGCGGAUCAGAAUGUCGCGGUGAAUACGUUCCCGGGUCUUGUACACACCGCCCGUCACUCCAUGAGAGCGGGAUCUGCCAGAAGUAGUGAGCUAACCGCAAGGAGGG
rnacentral:rRNA from 1 species